UCUGUCAUCCAGGUUGGAGUGCAGUGGCUUGAUUUCAGCUCACUGCAACCUCUACCUCCUGGGUUCAAGCGAUCCUCCCACCUCAGCCUCCAGAGUAGCUGGGACCACAGAUGCACGCUCCAUGGAGACUCACCUAAUUUUUUGUAUUUUUGGUAGAGACCGGGUUUCAUCUUGUUGCCCAGGCUGGUCUCAACUAAGCUCAAGUGAUCUGCCUGCCUUGGCUUCCCAAAGGGCUGGGAUUACAGGUAUGAGCCACCACACCCAGACUAUCUUUUAAUAUAUUGUGUAGUUUAGUUUACAGUCUCUUCGCUACUAGAAUAUAACUGCCUUGAGGUCAUGGAUUGGUGUCUAUUUUAUUUACUGCUGUAUCUUCAGCAUCAAGACUGCUUGGCAGAUAGUAAGCACUUGAUAUACUUGUUGAGUGAACAAAUUAAAAAUGAACAGGUGUGGAUCUGGCUGUCUCACUGGGAGAGCCCCAAAUAGUUGGCUCCUAGACACCUUUUCUUUUGAGACUUUAGUCUCUUCAGCUUCACAGCUGGAGAACUGUGCCUCAUCUUCAGAGUUCUGGCUGCCAAGCAGGGAAAAGGGACAUGACAGCUCCCUGGCUGGUGUGCAGACUCUCAUGUAAACUCCUGUUUUCUGCCCUGCUCCUUGCUGAGUAAUUCUGUGUGAUAUGCAAGGAUAGGAAGAAUGAUCUUUCAAACAGCACGGAGAGAUUGUCACUAGGGACUGGUAGAAAAAAAACAAUAAAAAUAACCAACCAAAAAUUUACAUCCAAAGCUCUACUCUGUUUACUGAAGAAAGCAAGUGAUCCAAUCUCCUGUGAAUGUUGCUGAUUUUAAUAACAACCUUCUCUGCUUCCUCCAGCCUGGCUCUUUGGGCUGGACUCCUGACAACCAUUUCUUCCCAUUCAAGUCUGUCCAAAGAUGCCCCUUAAGGAGGAAGAACUGCCAGUGGUGGUAAAUGGAUCUGUGUGACCCACACCACACUAUUUCAAUUCCCAACGGAGUCUCUCUCUGUAGUCCAGGCUGGAGUACAGUGGCACCAUCCCGGCUCGCUGCAACCUCCGCCUUUCAGGUUCAAGCAAUUCUCCUGCCUCAGCCUCCCAAACAGCUGGGACUACAGGUGCCUGCCACCACACCCAACUAAUUUUUUAUAAUUUUUGUAGAGAUGGGGUUUCACCAUGUUGGCCAAGGUGGUCUCAAACUCCUGACCUCAAGUGAUCUGCCCACCUCGGCCUUCCAAAGUGCUGGGAUUACAGGUGUGAACCACCAUGCUCAGCCCUUUUCCAAUAUUUUAAUAAAGGUAAACAGCUGAUUUACCUAGUUAGAAGUUUUACAUGGUUUAUUUUCUUGUAUGGUGGCAGCAGCAAGGGAUAUAAUAUAAACUCAAUUCAAGGAUAACUGCCAUAUACAUAUAAUUAUCUAUUCAAAAUACUUAAUUCACUUUUUUUUUUAAAGCAUCCCAGUAUUUAGAGUAGCUUUUGACCAAUUCUGCUUUCUCAGUUGAUGGCAAAAGCACACCCAGUAUAUGUAGAGAGGCUGUCGUCUGCCUCAUCUUUUACUAUGGCAAAAAAAGGAGAGUCUACAAACUUGGAAAUACUGAAAACUACUGCCCUGAACCAAAGAGGUGAUUGAUGGUGGUAGCUCUGAGAUUUCCUACUUAUAGAAAAUCUAGCAAAUCGCUGCCAUGUGAGGGUAGUAUCAAAUAAUGGUCAUUCUUACCAAAGUCAGUGUGCAAGGAAUCUUCAGCAGUCUUUCCCGGGCAUUUAAAGAGGGUAUUUACAGCAUCUUGGGAGGCCAAGGCAGGUGGAUCACUUGGGGUCAGGAAUUUCAAGACAAGCCUGGCUAACAUGGCAAAAAUCCAUCCCUACUAAAAAUACAAAAAUUAGCCGGGCGUGGUGGCACAUGCCUGUAAUCCUAGCUACUCUGAGCUCAGAGUCUCCAGAGUAGCUGCUUCAGAACACUGGGUCUACAGUACAUGAGCAGAGAGCAGAGAUCGCACCACUGCAUGCCAGCCUGGGCGACAGAGGGAGACUCCAUCUCGAACAAACAAACAAACAAAGAAGUAGAUGUUUCAUUUGUCCCAGACACUAGCAGAAGAGCGAGGGGGUAGCACUGCAAAACCUCAAGCUUGGUAAAUUUACUUAGCAGACAUUCACACAGGCUUGUGAAGACUGCUGGGCUGGAAGCUUGACCUUGGAACUUGCCAGAGCCUUUAAUAUGUUAGUUAGCGUGCAUCGUGAAUUUCCAAAGUAGUGACUAAGUACGCAUUAUCUCUCAAAGUUUUUACCUGUCUUUUUUUCAAGACACACCUCUGUCAGAAUUCAUUUUAAGGGUUACAAACACUGGAAAUGCUGAUUUAUUGCCCUUUCACUUCUCUCCCCUUUGCCUCUCUCACUUGCUCUUCCACAGUUAACAGCAUUUCAUGCAAGGGAUGCUCUUAUGGUCUGAAUGUUUCCGUCCCUCCAGAAUUCAUAGGUGAAAAUCCUAACCUCUGAGGUGAUGGUAUUAGAAAGUGGGGCCUUGUGGGAGGUGAUUAGGUCAUAAGGGUGGAGCCCUCAUGAAUGGGAUUAGUGCCCUUUUAAAGAGGCCCCAGAGGGCUAGCUUAUCCUUCCACCUUGUGAGGACACAGUGAGAAGCCACCAUCUAUAAGCUAGGAAAUGGGUUCUCUUCAGACUCUGAAGCAACCAGGAGCUUGGUCUUGGACUUCCCAGCCUUCAGAACUAUGAGAAAUAUAUUUCUGUUGUUUAGAGGCUACCCAGUCUAUGGUAUUUUGUUGUAGUAGCCCCAGCAGACUAAGACAGAUGCUGAAUGGGUGCAUCAUGUCAACGUUUGGCAUUUCUUCUAUGUCAGCAUUCUGUAACUUAUUCACACUUUCAGCUGGUAAUUUGGUGUAAGCCCCAAGUUUCUCAAUAAUCACACAAAGCCCAUCAAGUCUUCAUCUGCUGGUUCAAUUCAAGCAUCAUUAUAAUCCAAAGUCUGUGCCAAGAGCUGUUAAUGCUGAUUUAUCAAGAGUCCCAAGCAUUGGCAACUAUAUAAAUGGCAUCCUUAAGAUUGAACUCUUCUGAAAAGUCAUAAAUUCUAUGACUCUGUUAAAUGUAGCCAGCAAACCAUUAGCAAAGGCAAAUGCAAAAAGAUACACUUGCUUGUCAUGGAUUGCAGAAUUCUGUGGUCAUGAGGCUGUAUUGUGGGUGUCACGGUGAGUAAUCAUAGGAGGGUGUGAGAAGCAUUUGCCCAGAAACAAAUUUUUUUCCAUUUUUAUCUGGUUUUGGUGGCUUUGCUGUGAAUGGAUGUCACCGGUCUACAGUGGUUACAGAACCAGUCAGAACACAUUUUUCUAGCUACUUAUACUUUUCUUCCUCCCUUCCUUCUCUCCUGCCCUCCCUACCUCCUUUCUUUCUUUUCUCUCUUCUCUUUCUUUCUUCUGUUUUCUACAACUUUAUUAAAGUAUAUUUUCUUCAAUGAGAGUAUGUUUAAGCUGCGACAGGAACUGGUCCUAGAAUCUAAAAUUCCUGCUCCUUUCAUGGUUCAGAAGCCAUGUGGACUGAAUUCAAAUUUUGGUUAGACAUUUUCCCAACUGUGUGACUAUAGGUAAGCAAAUCUCUCAAGUUUGGCUUAUUAUCAGAAUAAAAGAUGAUGAAAAUUAAAUUGACUAAUUACAUUAAAAUUAAAGAUGAUAAACAGAGAAACCUCACUCUGGCUUCCCAAGGCUGAAUGGGCCCUACAACCAGCUCUCCAUUCUCCCAGCCACUUCCUACCUAUAAAAAGCAUGUUGCUUUUUCCUAUUAUCUGUUUUGGGUUACAUCAAAUAUUAACCACAGGGUUGGUGUGUUGACAAGUCACAGCAUUUGAAGAAUCCUAAUCGGUUCAGACUUUGGAAUAGUUUCCUCGGAGGUGGGUGGUAAGGAAAGUGGGGAGGGAGGAUGACUUUAAUGACUCCUUGACCUUGAAGUCAGCCUUGCAAGUCAACUAAAAGAAUGUGUCUCCCGGCAACAUGCCUAGUCUCCCUCACACGGCCCAAAGACAGCAGUGAAACAGCAACCUCAAAGGAGGACAUUGACUUCAGUGUUUGCUGGAUCACUGUACAUUUUUCUUAGAAUGCUUACAGAGGCGGUUUGCCAGUCAGUAGAGUAUGUGAGCUUUGGAGUCAGGUCCUGGUUCUUUCCAGAUCUCCCACUUAUUAACCAUGUGGCCUUAGGCUGUUAUGUGCUCAUUUUAGAAUAGAGAUACUGACAGCCCGUGGUCACUGGACUGCUGGGACAAUAAAAUGAUAGCGAUAAUGAGAGUGGUUUUACUUACAGAGUGCUGACUCUGUGCAAGGCACUGGUUUCAGCACUUUAUGUGUGUGAACUCAUUUACUCCUUCCAGUGACACUAUGGGGUUAGCAGUCCAUUAGCUGCAUGUUAUAAAUGAGCAGAUAAAGUCCAGAGAGAGGUCACUAUAUCUGUCUGAGGUCACACAGUAAGGGGUGGAGCUGGGAUGUGAAUCAGCCUGCGCAGUCUGGCUUCACAUGCUCAACCACCCCACCAGACCACUUUCCUGUGCUAUAUUAGCUCUUCUAAAGGAAAUCAUGUAUGCAGAAUGUCUGGCCCUCAGCAAAAGCACAAUAAAUGGUGAUAUUGAAAUAAUAAAUGAUACUUCCAUUUCCUCAGGCCUCGCCAGCUUAUGGACAUCAUACAAACACCUCUUGCCAGCUCCAAAACCAGGCCCCGACAUCUCCCAUGGACCUCCUGUUCUUCCACACUUGCCCCUCUCUGAGGUCCUGCCUGUGAAGUCCCUCGAGGUCGCGCCUCACCCUGCCACUGAUGUUGGUAUCCCCUAGGCCUCUCCCUUGAGCCAUCUGGCCAAGCUCCCUGGACCCCAAGCACAAAUGGGUAUCUGGGCCUAAACAGUCACUACCAUCUACUUGGAGACUGGUGACUUUCUGUUCCCCGCUAACUGUGUUCUGUUACAUUCAAUAGACAUUUCCUAGGCAAGUAUGAUACUUUGGAGAGAGUGCUAGAAGACAUACAAAAAUAAAGGAAGAGCUAAUGGUAGUCCACCUUCCUUGGAUGUCUGAGCAAAUGGCAUUUGUGAACAACAAGCAAAAAACAAACUUUGGAGGUCAGAAGUCCAAAAUCAGAAUGACUGGGCUAAAGUCAACAUCUCAGCAAGGCUGGUUCCUUCUGGAGGCAGUGUGGGGAGACUCCAUCACCUCAUCAUUUCUGGCUUUUAGAACCCAUCUUCAUUCCUUGGCUUGGGGCCCCUUUCUCUGUCUUCAAAGGGCAGCCACUUCAAAUCUCUUGCCAUCACAUUUCCUACUCCCCUAAUGCUCAUCCUACUGCCAGCCUUCUAUAAAGGCCCUUGUGAUUACAGUGAUUAAAAUGAACCCUCUCAGAACAAUCUCUGUAUCCCAAGAUCCUUAACUUAAUCAAACCGGCAAAAUCCCUUUUGCCAUGAAAGGCAACCUAUUCACAUGUUCUGGGGAUUAGGAAUGUACACAUUUUUGGGGAGGCCAUUAUCCUGUUUCCUACAGAGAGGAAGAUGAGAAAUAUGCACUUUCAUUUGCUUGUAUUCACAUAAAUAAACAGUUAUCAUGCACAAGACCACUAAUAAAUCUGAUUACCUGUGAAGGAUGGGGAGUAAGAGGGGAAGGAAUGGGAGCUAGGACUUCCUUCUCAAAGUUGACUUUUUAUAUUAUUUUGGGCUUUGAGCCAGGCAAAUAUAUUACCUUUUACACAAUGUUAACCACCAAAAAAUAAAGAGAAUGA